UCAUGGCUCAGAUUGAACGCUGGCGGCAGGCCUAACACAUGCAAGUCGAGCGGUAACCAGAGAUAGCUUGCUAUCUGCUGACGAGCGGCGGACGGGUGAGUAAUGCUUGGGAAUAUGCCUUUUGGUGGGGGACAACAGUUGGAAACGACUGCUAAUACCGCAUAACGUCUACGGACCAAAGUGGGGGACCUUCGGGCCUCACGCCAAGAGAUUAGCCCAAGUGGGAUUAGCUAGUUGGUGAGGUAAUGGCUCACCAAGGCAACGAUCCCUAGCUGGUUUGAGAGGAUGAUCAGCCACACUGGAACUGAGACACGGUCCAGACUCCUACGGGAGGCAGCAGUGGGGAAUAUUGCACAAUGGGCGCAAGCCUGAUGCAGCCAUGCCGCGUGUGUGAAGAAGGCCUUCGGGUUGUAAAGCACUUUCAGUCAGGAGGAAAGGUUAGUAGUUAAUAGCUGCUAGCUGUGACGUUACUGACAGAAGAAGCACCGGCUAACUCCGUGCCAGCAGCCGCGGUAAUACGGAGGGUGCGAGCGUUAAUCGGAAUUACUGGGCGUAAAGCGUACGCAGGCGGUUUGUUAAGCGAGAUGUGAAAGCCCCGGGCUCAACCUGGGAACUGCAUUUCGAACUGGCAGACUAGAGUGUGAUAGAGGGUGGUAGAAUUUCAGGUGUAGCGGUGAAAUGCGUAGAGAUCUGAAGGAAUACCGAUGGCGAAGGCAGCCACCUGGGUCAACACUGACGCUCAUGUACGAAAGCGUGGGGAGCAAACGGGAUUAGAUACCCCGGUAGUCCACCGCCGUAAACGAUGUCUAGCUAGAAGCUGGGGUCUUCGGACAACUUUUUCAAAGCUAACGCAUUAAGUAGACCCCCGGAGUCGC
rnacentral:rRNA from 1 species